CAACCUCAACUCAUAUGGGACUACCCCCUGAAUUUAAGCAUAUUAAUUAGGGGAGGAAAAGAAACUAACAAGGAUUUUCUUAGUAGCGGCGAGCGAAAAGAAAACAGUUCAGCACUAAGUCACUUUGUCUAUAUGGCAAAUGUGAGAUGCAGUGUAUGGAGCGUCAAUAUUCUAGUAUGAGAAAUUAAUGAUUUAAGUCCUUCUUAAAUGAGGCCAUUUACCCAUAGAGGGUGCCAGGCCCGUAUAACGUUAAUGAUUGCUAGAUGAUGUUUCCAAAGAGUCGUGUUGCUUGAUAGUGCAGCACUAAGUGGGUGGUAAACUCCAUCUAAAACUAAAUAUAACCAUGAGACCGAUAGUAAACAAGUACCGUGAGGGAAAGUUGAAAAGAACUCUGAAUAGAGAGUUAAACAGUACGUGAAACUGCUUAGAGGUUAAGCCCGAUGAACCUGAAUAUCCGUUAUGGAAAAUUCAUCAUUAAAAUUGUAAUAUUUAAAUAAUAUUAUUAAGAAUAAUGUGCAUUUUUUCCAUAUAAGGACAUUGUAUUCUAUUAGCAUAUCCCAAAUUUAUCAUAAAAAUAUAACUUAUAGUUUUAUUCCAAUUAAGUUGCUUGCAUUUUAACACAGAAAUAAAUGGU
rnacentral:ncRNA from 1 species